rnacentral:lncRNA from 1 species
UUGAGUGUAAAUUUUAUACAUUUAUUAAGAGGCAAGCAGGAGCAGUUGUGAAAAAUACAACUAUAUAUAAACCCUCUGACAGGAAUCAAACCUGUGAUCCUGUGAUUCCAGUGCAGCGCUCUAACCAACUGAACUACAGAGUCCACCUGGAUAGUUCAUCAUAAAUGUAUAAAAUUUACACUGGAAAUUUCCAUCUACAAAAUCCUUCAACAUUAUUCUUCAAUCAACUGAGAUGCCCAAAAAUCAUAAUAAUA